GAAAUGUGGCUGGCUUUGGGAGUAAUGUAAGGAAGUAACACUCAGGUUACUACUAUUGGUGGAAAGUUAAGUUAAGCUCUAAGCAACAGUCCACAGGGAAACUGGAACGGAUUUGGCCACCUCCCUCCAAGAAAGACCAGAUUAAAUCUGAGCAGACACAGCAGGAGCCAAAAGUUCACAGAGCAGGAGGACAGAAGACUCCUCUGUGGCAGCGCUGGGAGUCCGGCAUGAUCAACAGUAAGCCGGCAAAGGAGAAUAACUGAUGUUGGCCACCCUGAUGUCUUCAACACUACAAAUAGAAUAUCUAUGCUCUGCAAUACUAGACCUGCACAAGUCCAAGAGGAGAUUAAUCAGUGUGACCCAAAUCCUUAAAGUAGUUCCAUCUUAAAUGCUUUCUGGCGCCUCUAACUCUGCUUUGUACCUGUGUCAAAUAUUGUUUUUUGAUAUUUUUAAACUCUAGUUUCACUCAGCAGCUAAAUAAAGCAAAAGUAUCACUUCAAUCAUUCACGCCAUUAUUUUUUCUCUUAUGAUCUCAAUCGAGUUAUGUAAAAUAGUUGUUUUUACACUGUUGUGGGGAUUAGAUGCCAAAAAACAAAACAUAAUAAUUUGGACAUUAUAAUGAUGUCAUCAGAGUUAUUUUUGGCUUAGCCUUGUAGACAACAAAUAGAUGACAGAAAACAGAAAUCCUGCAUUACAAACUGGAGGUGUGGAGUUUGAAAGAAGCCAGUGUUUACCAGGCAGGGAGGAGCUAACUAUCCAGUUUCGUUAUGGGAAAUGUAGUGGUAGAGUGUUUUUUAGGUUUUUGCCUGUGCUGGACAAUAAAAAUUAAGGAUA